UGGAAAGGUGAUGGAGAGGAUUGCAUAAAAUCAAAGGCAGGAAAACAAACGAUAGAAUGUGGCCUGAAAAUAGGAUGAGCUUCUGGAAAUUACAGUAUAAUGAGAGAAAUCACAGUUAAGACUUGCAAUUUUAAGUUUGGGGUAAUCUGCCACUUUAAAAUGGUUCAAAUGAGGUCCAUCACAAUACAUCCGAGAGCUAAUGAAGGAAAGGCGCCGUCUUUCUCAAGUAUAUUAAAUUGUUG